AGCCUUUACACUGGAAAUACAUACAAAAGGUUGGACAGCUUGGGAGAAGCAGAAUCGUCGCGAGGAGUAAGAAGCAUCGCCAUCUUCAGGGAGAAACGUGCUUUCUGAUUUUCUUAGUUCGGUUUUGACGACGAUUCUGGUGGGUUUCUUAGUCAGCGCAGCAAUGGCUACGCUCCAGUGGAGUUUUCGCAGGCGUUCACAGCUGCCGCGAGCAGUGCCUACACAUUCGGUUGAGCAGACAGUGACUACAGCCGCAAGGGACGAUGUGCUGCCGCCACCGUCUACAUUAUCCGGAGACUUGGGCACCACCGCCGCCUGGGAUAGCGGAGUUCUUUAUGAUUUAAAUUUGGGACAUCUUUGUUUUUAUGUUAAUCUUUUUCUUUGUUUUUAGAACAUUUCAUUUUUGGAUUUGUUAUAUAUUUCAACAAACAACAUUUUUGCGAGUUA